AGGUCAAGCAAUAAGGGCACAGGGCGGAUGCCUUGGCACUAAGAGCCGAUGAAAGACGUGAUAAGCUGCGAAAAGCUUCGGGGAGGAGCAAAUAUCCCGUGAUCCGGAGAUGUCUGAAUGGGGAAACCCGCAUGAGUAGACCUCAUGCAUCCAUACGCCAAUCCAUAACGUAUGGAAGGGAACCCGGGGAACUGAAACAUCUAAGUACCCGGAGGAAAAGAAAGAAACAUCGAUUCCGUAAGUAGCGGCGAGCGAACGCGGAGGAGCCUAAACCGGUGUGCGUGCAUGCCGGGGUCAUGGACUGCAUUUAAGAUUCAGCGAAGUUAACAGAACGGUUUUGGGAAAGCCGGCCGGAGAGGGUGAAAGCCCCGUACGUGAAAGCAGAGCUGACUGAGCAGGAUCCGGAGUACCACGAGACACGAGGAACCUUGUGGGAAGUAAGGGGGACCACCCCCUAAGGCUAAAUACUACUUAGUGACCGAUAGCGCAUAGUACUGUGAAGGAAAGGUGAAAAGGACCCCGGGAGGGGAGUGAAAGAGAACCUGAAACCCUGUGUCUACAAGCUGUGGAAGUACUUUAUAUGUACGACCGCGUACUUUUUGUAGAACGGUCCGGCGAGUUACGCUUACUGGCAAGGUUAAGCACUUCAGGUGUGGAGCCGUAGGGAAACCAAGUCUUAAUAGGGCCAGAGUCAGUAGGAGUAGACCCGAAACCGGGUGAUCUAUCCAUGUCCAGGUUGAAGCUGCCGUAAGAGGUAGUGGAGGACCGAACCCACAUCCGUUGAAAAGGGUGGGGAUGAGGUGUGGAUAGGGGAGAAAUUCCAAUCGAACCCGGAGAUAGCUGGUUCUCCUCGAAAUAGCUUUAGGGCUAGCCUCGGUGUGAGUCUUGCGGAGGUAGAGCACUGAAUUUCCUAGGGGGCGUCAAAGCCUACCGAAGAAUAUCAAACUCCGAAUGCCGUGUAGAUAUCACCGGGAGUCAGACUGCACGAGAUAAGUUGGGCGGUCAAAAGGGAAAGAGCCCAGACCUACAGUUAAGGUCCCAAAGUGCGCGUUAAGUGGAAAAGGAUGUGGGAUUUCGAAGACAACCAGGAUGUUGGCUCAGAAGCAGCCAUACAUUCAAAGAGUGCGUAAUAGCUCACUGGUCGAGAGGUCCUGCGCCGAAAAUGUCCGGGGCUGAAACGCGCCACCGAAACUAAGGAAUCUGAAAAGAUUGGUAGAGGAGCAUUGCAUGCGGGAAGAAGCAGUACCGGAAGGAGCUGUGGACUGCAUGGAAGAGAGAAUGCCGGAAUGAGUAGCGAGAUAGAGGUGGGAAUCCUCUAGGCCGAAUAUCCAAGGUUUCCAGGGUAAAGCUGAUCUGCCCUGGGUGAGUCGGGACCUAAGGUGAGGGCGAGAGCCGUAGCCGAUGGACAACAGGUUGAUAUUCCUGUACUGCAGUAU
rnacentral:rRNA from 1 species